rnacentral:rRNA from 1 species
GAUGAACGCUGGCGGCGUGCUUAACACAUGCAAGUCGAACGGACAGGCCGAAGCUUGCUUCGUUACUCGAGUGGCGAACGGGUGAGUAACACGUGGGUGAUAUGCCCUGUACUUCGGGAUAAGCUUGGGAAAAUGGGUCUAUUACCGGAUAUGACAAUCUCUUGGAUGGGGUUGUGGAAAGCUUUUGCGGUAUGGGAUGGGCUCGCGGCCUAUCAGCUUGUUGGUCGGGUAAUGGCCUACCAAGGCGUCGACGGGUAGCCGGCCUGAGAGGGUGUACGGCGACAAGGGGACUGAGAGACGGCCCAGACUCCAACGGUAGGCAGCAGGGGAGAGUAUGGCGCAAUGGGCGCAAGCCUGAUGCAGCGGCGCCGCGUGGGGGAUGACGGCCUUCUGGUUGUAAACACCUUUCGCAACCGACGAAGCUUUUGUGACGGUAGGUUGAGAAAAAGCACCGGCUAACUACGUG